rnacentral:rRNA from 1 species
GACGAACGCUGGCGGCGUGCUUAACACAUGCAAGUCGAACGGAAAGGCCCUGCUUUUGUGGGGUGCUCGAGUGGCGAACGGGUGAGUAACACGUGAGUAACCUGCCCUUGACUUUGGGAUAACUUCAGGAAACUGGGGCUAAUACCGGAUAGGAGCUCCUGCUGCAUGGUGGGGGUUGGAAAGUUUCGGCGGUUGGGGAUGGACUCGCGGCUUAUCAGCUUGUUGGUGGGGUAGUGGCUUACCAAGGCUUUGACGGGUAGCCGGCCUGAGAGGGUGACCGGAGACAGUGGAGGGGAGGCGCGGACAUGCCGCGGAGGGAGGGGGGCAGGGGGGAGCGAGAGCGGGCGGGGGGAGGGCUGAGGAACGAGCGGGGGGGUGGGGUGGACGGCGUUGGGGUUGCCAACCGAUGGGGGCGGGGACGAAGGGUAUGGGACGGGAAUGGGAAAACAACAACGGGCUACGUACGUGACGGCGGCCGAGGUAAGGUAGAGGAACAGAACACAUCUGAAC